GAUGAACGCUGGCGGCGUGCCUAAUACAUGCCAGUCGAGCGAACGGACGAGAAGCUUGCUUCUCUGAUGUUAGCGGCGGACGGGUGAGUAACACGUGGAUAACCUACCUAUAAGACUGGGAUAACUUCGGGAAACCGGAGCUAAUACCGGAUAAUAUUUUGAACCGCAUGGUUCAAAAGUGAAAGACGGUCUUGCUGUCACUUAUAGAUGGAUCCGCGCUGCAUUAGCUAGUUGGUAAGGUAACGGCUUACCAAGGCAAUGAUGCAUAGCCGACCUGAGAGGGUGAUCGGCCACACUGGAACUGAGACACGGUCCAGACUCCUACGGGAGGCAGCAGUAGGGAAUCUUCCGCAAUGGGCGAAAGCCUGACGGAGCAACGCCGCGUGAGUGAUGAAGGUCUUCGGAUCGUAAAACUCUGUUAUUAGGGAAGAACAUAUGUGUAAGUAACUGUGCACAUCUUGACGGUACCUAAUCAGAAAGCCACGGCUAACUACGUG
rnacentral:rRNA from 1 species